rnacentral:rRNA from 1 species
UACGUAGGCAGCAAGCGUUGUUCGGAGUUACUGGGCGUAAAGGGUGCGUAGGCGGCCUUAUAAGUAUGGUGUGAAAUCUCCUGGCUUAACUGGGAGGGUGCGCUAUAGACUGUGGGGCUAGAGUGUGGGAGAGGAAAGUGGAAUUCCUGGUGUAGCGGUGAAAUGCGUAGAUAUCAGGAGGAACACCGGUGGUGUAAACGGCUUUCUGGACCAUAACUGACGCUGAGGCACGAAAGCGUGGGUAGCAAACAGG